rnacentral:lncRNA from 1 species
UUUUUAUCUAGACAUAGGAUAGGUUGUGUGAAAAUAUUACUGAUGUUUAACGUUAAAAAUGGACCAAAAGAUUAAUGCUAAACAACAUUUGACAUGUUUGAACGAACAUAAAUAGAUUAUUUACUAGGUUUUUUUAGCUUUUCGGCGUGAUUUUACCAGCCCCACACCACGUUUUGUGGGAGCAUAAUGAACGCUAAGUACUUGGUGUUAUUUGGACAUAAAUUAUGAACUUUGUCAAAAGAAACCACAUUUGUUCCGGACCUGGAAUGCCUUCCGGACCUGGGAUCCUGCCUUCUGAUGGAGAUAAUCAAAGGCACUUCCAGGAAUCCCAGGUCCACAACAAAUGUAUUUUCCUUUAUGUUCCAUUAGCUUGUUGUUGUUAGCGCGUUCUGAAGGCUGCACCAAAAGUUUCGACGUGCGCGGGGCUACUCUUUCAACAAAAUGCAUUUUUUUCUUAUUUACGUUCGUUCAAACAUGUCAAACGUUGUAUAACAUAAAUCUUUAGGGCCUUUUUCAACCAGAGCUCCAAUAAGAUUCAAGGGGGACGAUUGCAUUGUGUUUCAAAACGUUUCGAAAGGGGAGGGUAGCCAGGGGCGCCGGCGUCAUAAUGGUGAUGGCCCUCUCCAUGUGACCAUGUUCCACAGCGGGUCAUUCUGUCAGUUUUCACAGUAGGAGACUCAAAUCACUUUGUAAAGACUGGGGACAUCUAGUGGAAGCAAUAGGAAGUGCUCAAUGAACCAUAGCUCACGGUGUGAUUAAUAGGCAACGUGAUGAAGUUGAGUCCGCAAUUCAGAAUUCCACUUCCUGUUUCGAUCUGUCUCGGGGUUUUGACUGCCAUAUGAGUUCUGUUAUACUCACAGACACCAUUCGAACAGUUUUAGAAACGUUAGGGUGUUUUCUAUCCACAAGUAUUAAUUAUAUGCAUAUCCUAGCUUCUGAGUUUGAGUAGUAGGCCGUUUAAAAUGGGCACAAAUUUUUUUCAAAACGCGCUGUGGCGCCCCCUAUCCUAGGCGACCGUCAAGAGGUUAAAAUUAUAGACUGAUCAUUUCUUUGUCAGUGGGCAAACGUACAAAAUCAGUAGGGGAUCAAAUACUUUUUUCCCUCACUGUAUAUGCUACUGCCCAUGUCUGAUCAGACCAUUUUGGAGCCUUGCAGAAAGCCUUUGUUGAACUUGAAUUAGUACUUAAUGCAGGUAAAACCAAGUAUAAGUUAUUAUCUAUAUCUUGUAAAACUUUAUCUGAAGAUUUUAUUCAUACGUACAUUGGAUGGUACUGUCAUGACGUUGCCCUCUUUGAGUACAGGGAGGACAGUUGACCCCCUCCCCCUUGCACCAUCCCC